rnacentral:lncRNA from 1 species
UGGUGUUCAUGAAAAAAUACUGCUACUGUUUUUGUCAAUGUUUUUUUCAUUUAUUUUCAGCAAAUUUUUAUAUUAUAUAUUAAUGCAUGCACUAGAAUGACAAGUAAAGGGUCAUGCACCAUGACCCGGGCUCGAUUCAUGACGCUUUCUAUUUAUUUAUUUAUUUUAGUCUCUCUUUUUUUUCUCUUCAUUUUUGCAAGGUUUAU